CCCCGCUCCCGCCGCGCAAGUUGCCGGUCUUAACCCCCCCCACCUCGCCCCGCCGCCCCUACAAGUACCGGGCUAGCCUCGCUCGCCAGCUCUCUGGCCCCACAACUGGCCCUCCGGAUCGGGCUCUACCGGAGACAAUACCCAGACUCUCUGCUCUCCCCACAACUACCUGCCCACCCCUCUAACAAUCACCAAGCUAUCUCUGGCGGCAACUACUAGGCGCUCCAGCGCCACCGUCACAAACUCCCCCACCGCGGCCAACUACCGGGCCCCUCACUCAAUCCUCGUCCGGCUCUCCCAACUACUCUCCGGCAAUCAGAUUCCCCCCAGCCUCUCGGCUACGGAGCGCCAGGCACCCCGAGGCCUUUCCAGCCCCUAGCCCCCGGAGCUGGGUUUCCAGCGCCUAUCCCCGGACACCCCACCACCGCCAUCCACACCGCGCCUGAUGUCUAACUCUCCCGACCCAGGCUCCCACUCCUCUUUCUCCAAGGGAACCGCCCCACUUCCGGCCAGGAGGAGACAUGGAUGCUGGGAGAUGAAGUUCUCCUACUGAUAAUGGCACCCUUCUCCCACUAUUUGCCCUCUCUCAAAUUCCACUUUACAAGAUCCCAUACACUGGCACAAACUCUGCAAGUGACAGCCAGUUAGACAGUUCUUUUACCACCUCCCAAACAGGAACUUCUCUUCUUUAAUACAAAGUAACAAAUUUGGAUCUGCUUACCUAAAAGUGGUACUUUCAAACUUUGUCCACAGCAACCCACAGUAAAAACUACCACCCCUUUGUUUACAUCGAAACCCAAUAUAUACACAUAUAAAAUCAAAGUUUCAUGAGAUAAUGGUCACAUUAUUCCACUCAUUUAAAAAAUACCUUUUUCCAAAGAGGGAAAUAGUAACAUCAACACAGUGUUUCUGUUUCUCUGACCUAUCCCCAUUCCCUCUUUCCCACCAUAGACGUUCAUGACACUUGAGACAGACAGGAGGUGGAAUGACACAGGGCAAUUCAAUUCAGCUCGGUGGUUUCUUCUUUAUUGAUGUGCCUCCUACCUCCCCCGACAAUGUCAAUCCCUUCCAUCUACCCCCCCAAAAAGAAGGUAGUGAAAGGAAGGGAUUGGUGGGGUUCUGAGCCUGCUGGGCAGUUAGAAAGGGAAUAGAAACCAAAACAAUCAACGGAUGUGACAGAGAUUGACAAUCAAGAAGUCUAAAGCAGAGUGGGAAUGGAGGGCAGACAAGGGAGGAGAGAGGAGA